UCUGAACCAAGCCAGUUUCAAGGUUGUUUCCUUUUCUCCUUUCUUCUCUUCUGUUUUCUUCCUUAGCUUUCUGACAUUAUGCCCUACUGUCUGCACAGUAGGGGCACACUGGCCUUGGAGCCCGAAGACUCCCCCACCUAUCAUUUGACCUAAGGAUUGCAGUGUUCCGAGCUCUGCUGUGAACAGAUUGCUUUUGCACCAAGGAAAUGAACUGGGGAAGAACAGACAAGGCCCAGGAGUGUUAUAAGGAAGAAACAAAUGAAGAGACUUAAAGAUGCACUUCCUCAUUAUUUAUUGAAUAAGACAGCCGAAGUGUGUGGUCGCUGCAAACACAGGUGUACGGCUAACGAUGGGGCCCAGUUUUGUUGGAGCACAACUCCAUCAUAAAAGCCCUCUGCUAUGCUUUGGAAUGGAUUAUUCUGUACUGGGAGGAAACACAAAAUCUUCACUUCUCAGAACAACCUGAAAAAUCGGUGUUGGUGCCGAUCUGCAUUUCAGGAAAAAGAGAGAGUAAGUUAUCAAGCUUAACCAUGAGACAUUCCUGCUUUUGCAGAUCAAAAAAGGUCUAAUAUCAGUAAGUGCAUGUGAUUCCACCUAAUACUUGCCCAAUAUCACAGAGUUCGUAGGUGCUGAUUCCACAGUUUGAACUCUCAACUAUCCCAGAAUGAUAACUGUGCAUCUGUAUCUUCAGACGACAGACCAGA